CGCGUGGGAAUCUACCUGGUAGUGGGGGACGACAGUCGGAAACGACUGCUAAUACCGCAUACGCCCUUCGGGGGAAAGUGGGGGAUCUUCGGACCUCACGCUAUCAGAUGAGCCCACGUCGGAUUAGCUUGUUGGUGAGGUAAAGGCUCACCAAGGCGAUGAUCCGUAGCUGGUCUGAGAGGAUGACCAGCCACACUGGGACUGAGACACGGCCCAGACUCCUACGGGAGGCAGCAGUGGGGAAUAUUGCACAAUGGGCGCAAGCCUGAUGCAGCCAUGCCGCGUGUAUGAAGAAGGCCUUCGGGUUGUAAAGUACUUUCAGCGGGGAGGAAGGGAGUAAAGUUAAUACCUUUGCUCAUUGACGUUACCCGCAGAAGAAGCACCGGCUAACUCCGUG
rnacentral:rRNA from 1 species